UUCCAGACUCCUACGGGAGGCAGCAGUGAGGAAUAUUGGUCAAUGGGCGGGAGCCUGAACCAGCCAAGUCGCGUGAGGGAAGACGGUCCUAUGGAUUGUAAACCUCUUUAGGCGGGGAGCAAUGCCGGGCACGCGUGCCCGGAGGGAGAGUACCCGCAGAAUAAGCAUCGGCUAACUCCGUGCCAGCAGCCGCGGUAAUACGGAGGAUGCGAGCGUUAUCCGGAUUUAUUGGGUUUAAAGGGUGCGUAGGCGGAUUUUUAAGUCAGCGGUAAAAUGUCCGGGCUCAACCCGGGCCGGCCGUUGAAACUGGCAGUCUCGAGUUGGAGAGAAGUAUGCGGAAUGCGCGGUGUAGCGGUGAAAUGCAUAGAUAUCGCGCAGAACUCCGAUUGCGAAGGCAGCAUGCCGGCUCCACACUGACGCUGAGGCACGAAAGCGUGGGUAUCGAACAGGAUUAGAUACCCGGGUAUG
rnacentral:rRNA from 1 species